AAGAAAUAGGCGGGGCAGGUGAGCCUCCUCCAACCUCUCUUGCGCUGCUCCACUUUCACAGCCCGUCUCCCCCAUUAGAGAACACAUCAUGCUAGGCUUUGGGUGGUGGUAGAUUCAAACACCGAUGGCUACAACUGCAAGAAGCUGCGACUCUGUUUUUGCACCAGAGGUCUUGGUGAACUCAUUGGAGGUGUCGUUCGAGUUCUACAUGAUCUUCUCCACAUUGAUGUGCUAGCCAUCCAGAAGGAGAGGAUGUCGACGCUGUGAAGUGGUAGGCGAGAAUACCGCACGUGUUCUGCAAGAUGCUCAUCUUCUUCGACGUCCUCGACACAGGUGCACGAUUCCUCUUCUCCGGCAGCGACACGUCAAUAGCGAUGCCAUUGACUUCCGCCUUCAUGACUUCUUCACUGCCACUUUAGCCAGCCAGGCCGGCCGGCGUUUAUGAGGAAGAGCUGCUAAAGGCUGAUUGACUAGGGCAAGGUGGCGCGACGGUGAUCAUCCAGAGCAUCUACCAGAGUUAUCUCGGCAUGUUAUUUAUCUUCUCCAUAUAUCUCAGCCAUCAGUUUAACCAAACCCACUCUGGGGUUAUUUUUUGGAUGAAAACCCAUUUGCUACUCCUGCUUUAAUUUAGGCCAAACUGCAACAAAUGUGUUUCUUGAUCAUGCAUGCUCAUGGCGUUGUGGAUUAUUUCCUUUCUUUGCACAAGGGAUUAGUUCAGUUUGUCACUUAUCAAGUUCUCGCAUUAUCACUGUGCCCCGGAGGUUGUUUUUGUAACAAUGGAGUAGAGAACAUCAGUUUUAUAUUUGCCCACUGGAUGUGUUCUUGCUGAGUCGUUUCUUGGGAAGAUUUUCUUAUAUUUGUUACCCUUUCCGUAUUUGUUUUUUUGCACGUUCUUGAUAUAUACAUACUUCGACAAUAUGUAAUCCAAAGGAAUCCUUUUAAGUUUCA